GGUAGGCUUCACACGUAAUACAAUGGUCGGUACAGGAAGGGUUGCCAACCCGCGAGGGGGAGCCAAUCCCAGAAAACCGAUCGUAGUCCGGAUUGCAGUCUGCAACUCGACUGCAUGAAGUCGGAAUCGCUAGUAAUCGCGGAUCAGCAUGUCGCGGUGAAUAUGUCCCUGCUCCUU
rnacentral:rRNA from 1 species